GUCCAUGGGACUCCCCCGGGGCUUGGGAUUUCUUGGGAAGAAGCCAUACUCAGAUGCCCUGACCUUCCGGGAAACCCUCGGUGAGAGGCCCACAGCCUCGCUUCUAGGGUCACCACUGCUUCUUCCAGUCUAGCCAAACAGCUCCUAGUACAGCUCAGAGCACCCUGCAAGGAGGGCACGUGUUAAAUCGAGGAGCACACAUGCUCCACGAGGAAUUCUUUGCUUUGAGGCCAUGCACAGAGGUGGGUUCACUAUGAAGCUUGUGAAAUAAGCUUCAGGGCCCGCAUUUGCAUGGGCCACAGAGAGUCUGGGAGCUGCAGAAGGUUCAAGGGAAGAGGAGCCAUCACAAGCAGAAUAUUCUAGAAGGCAUUUCUGGCAAAUGGCCCAAAGAGGCCUCAGGAGAAAAGAACUUGAGUCUUCAAGGAUGCAAUGAGAAGGCACCAUCUGUGAGGAACAGGCCUCCGACAGACACCGAAUUUGCUGGCACUUUGAUCUUGGACUUCCCAGCCUCCAAAAUUAUCCAUAAUGGAUUCCUGGGACAUUUUCAGAUCUCCUUCCAGCUUCCUCUUCGCCCUUUCCAAGUCCGCCCGCAGUUUCUUCUCCUGCUCUAAGGAACCCUCAAGCUGAGAAGACACACAGAGACAAGGGCUUGCUCUGUUGCCCAAGCUAAAGUGCAGUGGUGUGAGUGUAGCCCACUGCAUCCUCACACUCCUGUGCUCAAGUGAUCCUCCCACCUCAGCCUCCCAAGUAGCUGGAACUACAAGAUGGAGUCUCGCUGCGAUGCCCAGGCUGGAGUGCAAUGGUGCAAUCUUGGCUCACUGCAACCUUCGUUUCCCAGGUUUAAGCAAUUCUCCUGCCUCAGCCUCCCAAGUAUCUGGGACUACAGGCGAGCGUCACCAUGCCUGGCUAAUUUUUGUAUUUUUAGUAGAGAUGUUUAGUAGAGAGUUUCACCAUAUUGGCCAGGCUGGUCUUGAACUCCUGACCUCAAGGGAUCCGCCCACCUUGGCCUCUCAAAGUGCUGGGAUUACAGGCGUGAGCCACCGUGCCUGGCAAUGUUUGUAGUUUCUUUCAUGAAUUUACCUCCUUUUAUUCUUUAAUCCCUGCUUAUCUCUAAAGAGUAAGUAACUGAAAGUAAUAAAACGGAAUUUUCUCAACAAUAUUUUAUAAGUUGAUUUCUUUUUCUUUCCUACAGGAAACAACCCAAUUUGCCAUCUUAAUUUGGAGUCUACUUUUUCUGAAUGACUCAGUUUUCUCUGAUACUUAAUCAAGAUGCAGCCUUGGGGGAAAAUGUCAUGUCCCAGUCUCCCCCAUGUUCCUUUCCCUUCAUCCCACUUUGUCCCCGGGGUCUAGCAUGACUGUGUGUUUGGAUUGGGGAAGUGAAGGCAGGAAAGUCGCUUCCCCAAAUCCGCAUCCACACAGGGUCUUAUGUUAGAGUUGAUGUUAUCUCUAGGCGAGGUUAUGCAAUGUAGUUACAGAGACAUUGUGAUUAGAUUCAAAGAAAAUGAUUUUCAUCAUUGAAGUUUACGCAUGUGCCCAUUUCCUAUUUAUUACAUUCCCUGGCCCAGAGGACAUUAGGCUUUCAUUUUUAAAAAAUGAUCUCAUUAUCUAAUGAAUAAUUAUAUUUCAUAUAUUUUAUUAAUUUAUUAAAUGUAUGCAUUUAAAAUGGCAUAUAAUGUUAAAACUCUAUGUUGGCUACUAUUUAAAAGUAUAUUUACUGGUAAUCU
rnacentral:lncRNA from 1 species